rnacentral:rRNA from 1 species
GAGACAGCAGUCGCCGCGGUAAUACGUAGGUGGCAAGCGUUGUCCGGAAUUAUUGGGCGUAAAGGGCUCGCAGGCGGUUUCUUAAGUCUGAUGUGAAAGCCCCCGGCUCAACCGGGGAGGGUCAUUGGAAACUGGGAAACUUGAGUGCAGAAGAGGAGAGUGGAAUUCCACGUGUAGCGGUGAAGUGCGUAGAGAUGUGGAGGAACACCAGUGGCGAAGGCGACUCUCUGGUCUGUAACUGACGCUGAGGAGCGAAAGCGUGGGGAGCGAACAGGAUUAGAUACCCCGGUAGUCCCUGUCUCUUAUAC